rnacentral:sRNA from 1 species
UUUCUGUGGUGGCGUAACUUCUAAUACU